AUUGAACGCUGGCGGUAGGCCUAACACAUGCAAGUCGAACGCGAAAGUCCUUCGGGAUGAGUAGAGUGGCGGACGGGUGAGUAACGCGUAGGAAUCUAUCCUGUAGUGGGGGAUAACAUUUCGAAAGGAACGCUAAUACCGCAUACGCCCCAAGGGGGUAAGCGGGGGAUCUUCGGACCUCGUGCGAUAGAAGGAUCCUGCGACGGAUUAGCUAGUUGGUGAGGUAAAGGCUCACCAAGGCGACGAUCCGUAGCUGGUCUGAGAGGAUGAUCAGCCACACCGGAACUGAGACACGGUCCGGACUCCUACGGGAGGCAGCAGUGGGGAAUAUUGCGCAAUGGGCGAAAGCCUGACGCAGCCAUACCGCGUGUGUGAAGAAGGCCUUCGGGUUGUAAAGCACUUUCAGUGGGGAGGAAAAGCUGGUGGCUAAUAUCCAUCGGCCGUGACGCUACCCACAGAAGAAGCACCGGCUAAUUCCGUGCCAGCCGCCGCAGUAACAC
rnacentral:rRNA from 1 species